rnacentral:rRNA from 1 species
GCAUAUCAAUAAGCGGAGGAAAGAACCAACAGGGAUUGCCUCAGUAACGGCGAGUGAAGCGGCAAGAGCUCAAAUUUGAAAUCUGGCUCCUUCGGGGCCCGAGUUGUAAUUUGUAGAAGAUGCUUCGGGUGUGGCUCCGGUCUAAGUUCCUUGGAACAGGACGUCAUAGAGGGUGAGAAUCCCGUAUGUGACUGGAUGCCUACGCCCGUGUGAAGCUCUUUCGACGAGUCGAGUUGUUUGGGAAUGCAGCUCAAAAUGGGUGGUAAAUUUCAUCUAAAGCUAAAUACUGGCCAGAGACCGAUAGCGCACAAGUAGAGUGAUCGAAAGAUGAAAAGCACUUUGGAAAGAGAGUUAAACAGUACGUGAAAUUGUUGAAAGGGAAGCGCUUGCAAUCAGACUUGCGCCCGGGCGAUCAUCUGGGGUUCUCCCCAGGGCACUCGUCCGGGCUCAGGCCAGCAUCAGUUCUCGUGGUGGGAUAAAGGUCCUGGGAAUGUGGCCCCUCUCGGGGGGUGUUAUAGCCCAGGGCGCCAUGCCGCCUACGGGGACUGAGGACCGCGCUUCGGCUAGGAUGCUGGCGUAAUGGUUGUAAGCGACCCGUCUUGAAACACGGACCAAGGAGUCUAACAUCUAUGCGAGUGUUUGGGUGCUAAACCCAUGCGCGGAAUGAAAGUGAACGGAGGUGAGAACCCGUCAGGGCGCAUCAUCGACCGAUCCUGAUGUCUUCGGAUGGAUUUGAGUAAGAGCAUAGCUGUUGGGACCCGAAAGAUGGUGAACUAUGCGUGAAUAGGGUGAAGCCAGAGGAAACUCUGGUGGAGGCUCGCAGCGGUUCUGACGUGCAAAUCGAUCGUCAAAUUUGCGUAUAGGGGCGAAAGACUAAUCGAACCAUCUAGUAGCUGGUUCCUGCCGAA